rnacentral:sRNA from 1 species
CCUGUGAAAACAAUCAAUUUACUAUCUAACUCUUUUACAGUGUCUCAUUGUACAUAGUACAUGCUACUCUUCAAAAAGGGAAAAGGUAUUUGACAUGACAAAAAAAAUGCUUCAAUAUUCUCUAUUUCAUUUAACUGCUCUCAUGGAACACCCCCACCACCCCCACCCCAAUGAUCCAAAAAGAAAAAAAAAAGAAAAAAGGAAAAUCGUGAUGAUGCCAAAGCAUUAAGAAUGGUAAAAGUUGCAAGUCCUUCCAACAAAAAGACGGACACAGACCAGCAACUAGCAAGAGAAUUAACAGAUUAGGCAAAACUGCGAGUCCUCUUAGAUGUAAACCCCAA